rnacentral:rRNA from 1 species
UACGGAGGGUGCAAGCGUUAUCCGGAUUUACUGGGUUUAAAGGGUGCGCAGGCGGAUAUGUAAGUCAGUGGUGAAAUCUCUAGGCUUAACCUGGAAAUUGCCGUUGAUACUAUAUAUCUUGAAUGUUGUGGAGGUAAGCAGAAUAUGUCAUGUAGCGGUGAAAUGCUUAGAUAUGACAUAGAAUACCUAUUGCGAAGGCAGCUUACUACGCAGAUAUUGACGCUCAUGCACGAAAGCGUGGGGAUCAAACAGGA